UUGCAAUGAUGGUUAGCAGAUGCAGAAUCUC
rnacentral:piRNA from 1 species